UCGUUUAGGGCUUGACCUCUCCAAAAUUAUGAUCGAUUGUCAUUUCCCAGCAGUGUUUGACGCCGUUUUUUGGUAUGAGAGAUUCAGAGUAGAGAGAUUAUACUAUAACGUCAACCUUGAUUUGUUAUUACGAAGUGCUAACGAUCACUUUACCAGAAAUGUAUUGAAAGGGCACGGAAAGAUUAAAUAAUAACAAGGGAAAUAUAAAAGCAGGAAGACAGGGGUUGAAGUGUUGGUCAAAGGCCGCCGUUAAGCAGUAUGUUACGAUCAGUAGCGACUCGUGGAUCAACUAAAUGGAAAAUAAGACUGGUAGAAACUUGCCUGCUCCUGUACCAUGUAAAGUAUGCGGUGAUAAAUCCUAUGGUAAACAUUAUGGAGUUUACUGUUGUGAUGGUUGUUCAUGUUUCUUCAAAAGAAGUAUACGAAAAAACGUA